rnacentral:rRNA from 1 species
CCUACGGGAGGCAGCAGUGGGGAAUCUUGCGCAAUGGGCGAAAGCCUGACGCAGCAACGCCGCGUGCGGGAAGAAGGCUUUCGGGCUGUAAACCGCUUUCAGCAGGAACGAAAAUGACGGUACCUGCAGAAGAAGGAGCGGCCAACUAUGUGCCAGCAGCCGCGGUGAUACAUAGGCUUCAAGCGUUGUCCGGAUUUAUUGGGCGUAAAGAGUUCGUAGGCGGUCGAGUAAGUCGGGUGUGAAAAUUCUGGGCUCAACCCAGAGACGCCACCCGAUACUGCUUAACUUGAGUUCGAUAGGGGAGUGGGGAAUUCCUAGUGUAGCGGUGAAAUGCGCAGAUAUUAGGAGGAACACCGGUGGCGAAGGCGCCACUCUGGAUCGAUACUGACGCUGAGGAACGAAUGCAUGGGUAGCAAACAGGAUUAGAUACCCUGGUAGUCCAUGCCGUAAACGGUGGGCACUAGGUGUGGGAUUCUAUUAACGAAUUCCGCGCCGUCGCUAACGCAUUAAGUGCCCCGCCUGGGGAUACGGUCGCAAGACUAAAACUUACGAAAGUAGUAGGACGUGNGAGACGCGACGACGACGACGAGGAGGAGAG